UGAAGACAUUCGAUCGCAAGUCAAAGUAUCACUGAGAGCCAACUAGUUAUCUUUCCUGUAGAACCACAGUUUCAUCACUUUCUUCUGGAACUGCACAUAUCCAUGGGGCAGUAGUUACGGCCCCGGGAAUUAAGAACAGGAAGUCAAGAGGACCAGGUUCUAGUCUGCCAGCCACGGAAUUACUGCUUCAUGAUGGGCAAAUCUUUUCCCCUCCCGGGCCGAGCCUUCUUAGUUCCUACUCAAGCUAUUCUUCCUUAAAGCUGCGUCUCCAUCAAAGGAGGGGGACUCCAAGGGACCUUGCAGACAGGUCCCAGGUCACCAUAUCCUACUGGGUCUAUGGAGGGUAAAAUGACCUUUCAUUCAGCAUCUCCUGCCAGUGCCAGCCCUGUUAACACUGCCUGACUCGUAAACCCAUUCAGGGUUAACUUCACAAAGCAGGUGCUAGGAGGCCUUUGUCAGAGAGACUUGUAUACAGCAAGAGCUCAGUAAAUGUUAGCUACCGUCACACAUUUCCCAGAGUCACAGGAAAGCAAGAAGAGGCGACUAUGCU
rnacentral:lncRNA from 1 species